GGAGGAUGUGAUGUCAGUUUCCAUACAUGCAAUGCACUUACCCUUGCAGGUUUUGGGUGGUUCAGGAGGGCAGGAUGAACUGUUUUUUUUCUUCUUGAUGACCGCCACACUCUUUUUGUCAAAUGUCAGGGGGCUGUACUGCGAUUCAGUGAUGUGAUGGAGAAAUUACAGCUCACCCCGGGGUGGUUUCCUCCUUAGACUUGGACUUCUUGAGCUUUUUUGGGUUGCUGGUAGCAGCUUGAGCAAAUCCCCAGCUUUCAUCAUUCCAGCCGCCCUCAUGAUCGGACACACUGCCUCGAAUGGAACCUCUUUUCCCUAGAAAACAGAUCAGCAGCCCAAACAGCACAUUUUUCAUUCACUGUAUCAAAUGUUUUUAGUUUAAAUAUGAAUCAUGAGAUAAUGAGAUAAUGGUCAACUGAAUCAAGUAUUAUUUUAGUUUUAUGUUUGUUGCUUUAUAGAUUGUAAUUUUUAUUUUUAUUUGAGCAUCUUGACCUGUACAGCACUUUGGUCAACCUUGGGUUGUUUUUAAAUGUGCUUUAUAAAUAAAUAAUGAAAAUUAAAUUAAAUAAAGUGAAAAUUCUAAAUGA